rnacentral:tRNA from 7 species
GCCGCUUUAGCUCAGUCGGUAGAGCACGUCAUUCGUAAUGACGGGGUCAGGUGUUCGAGUCACCUAAGCGGCACCA